AUGCAAGUCGUACGAGGCCGCAAGGCCAAGUGGCGCAAGGGUGAGUAAGGCGACGGUAACCAACCCCAUGACUGGGUAUAGCCGCGGGAAACCGCGGGUAAUCCCCAGCGACGUGCGGAGCCGGCAUCGGCUCUGCACCAAAGCUCCGGCGUCGUGGGACGGGCCGUCGUGGUAUUAGGUAGUUGGCGGGGUAACGGCCCACCAAGCCGACGAUGCCUACCGGGCGUGCGAGCGUGGCCCGGCACACUGGGACUGAGACACUGCCCAGACUCCUACGGGAGGCUGCAGUCGAGAAUCUUCGGCAAUGGGCGCAAGCCUGACCGAGCGACGCCGCGUGGAGGACGAAGGCCUUCGGGUUGUAAACUCCUGUCGAGGGGGAGGAAGCCGCAAGGUUGACCGAUCCCUGGAGGAAGCACGGGCUAAGUUCGUGCCAGCAGCCGCGGUAAGACGAACCGUGCGAACGUUAUUCGGAAUCACUGGGCUUAAAGCGCGUGUAGGCGGGACGGCACGUCCGUCGCUGAAAUCCCCCGGCUCAACCGGGGAACGGGCGCGGAUACGACCGUCCUGGAGGGGCGUAGGGGGACCUGGAACUUCCGGUGGAGCGGUGAA
rnacentral:rRNA from 1 species